rnacentral:rRNA from 1 species
ACGGGUGAGUAACACGUAAGGAACCUGCCUCAAGGAUUGGGAUAACUCCGAGAAAUCGGAGCUAAUACCGGAUAGUUCAUCGGACCGCAUGGUCCGUUGAUGAAAGGCGCUUCGGCGUCACCUUGAGAUGGCCUUGCGGUGCAUUAGCUAGUUGGUGGGGUAAUGGCCCACCAAGGCGACGAUGCAUAGCCGACCUGAGAGGGUGAUCGGCCACACUGGGACUGAGACACGGCCCAGACUCCUACGGGAGGCAGCAGUAGGGAAUCUUCCACAAUGGACGAAAGUCUGAUGGAGCAACGCCGCGUGAGUGAUGAAGGUUUUCGGAUCGUAAAACUCUGUUGUAAGGGAAGAACACGUACGAGAGGAAAUGCUCGUACCUUGACGGUACCUUACGAGAAAGCCACGGCUAACUACGUGCCAGCAGCCGCGGUAAUACGUAGGUGGCAAGCGUUGUCCGGAAUUAUUGGGCGUAAAGCGCGCGCAGGCGGCCUUUUAAGUCUGAUGUGAAAGCCCCCGGCUCAACCGGGGAGGGCCAUUGGAAACUGGAAGGCUUGAGUACAGAAGAGA